rnacentral:rRNA from 1 species
GGUUAAGCGACUAAGCGUACACGGUGGAUGCCUUGGCAGUCAGAGGCGAUGAAGGACGUGCUAAUCUGCGAUAAGCGUCGGUAAGGUGAUAUGAACCGUUAUAACCGGCGAUUUCCGAAUGGGGAAACCCAGUGUGAUUCGUCACACUAUCAUUAACUGAAUCCAUAGGUUAAUGAGGCGAACCGGGGGAACUGAAACAUCUAAGUACCCCGAGGAAAAGAAAUCAACCGAGAUUCCCCCAGUAGCGGCGAGCGAACGGGGAGCAGCCCAGAGCCUGAAUCAGUGUGUGUGUUAGUGGAAGCGUCUGGAAAGGCGUGCGAUACAGGGUGACAGCCCCGUACACAAAAAUGCACAUACUGUGAGCUCGAUGAGUAGGGCGGGACACGUGGUAUCCUGUCUGAAUAUGGGGGGACCAUCCUCCAAGGCUAAAUACUCCUGACUGACCGAUAGUGAACCAGUACCGUGAGGGAAAGGCGAAAAGAACCCCGGCGAGGGGAGUGAAAAAGAACCUGAAACCGUGUACGUACAAGCAGUGGGAGCACGCUUAGGCGUGUGACUGCGUACCUUUUGUAUAAUGGGUCAGCGACUUAUAUUCUGUAGCAAGGUUAACCGAAUAGGGGAGCCGAAGGGAAACCGAGUCUUAACUGGGCGUUAAGUUGCAGGGUAUAGACCCGAAACCCGGUGAUCUAGCCAUGGGCAGGUUGAAGGUUGGGUAACACUAACUGGAGGACCGAACCGACUAAUGUUGAAAAAUUAGCGGAUGACUUGUGGCUGGGGGUGAAAGGCCAAUCAAACCGGGAGAUAGCUGGUUCUCCCCGAAAGCUAUUUAGGUAGCGCCUCGUGAAUUCAUCUCCGGGGGUAGAGCACUGUUUCGGCAAGGGGGUCAUCCCGACUUACCAACCCGAUGCAAACUGCGAAUACCGGAGAAUGUUAUCACGGGAGACACACGGCGGGUGCUAACGUCCGUCGUGAAGAGGGAAACAACCCAGACCGCCAGCUAAGGUCCCAAAGUCAUGGUUAAGUGGGAAACGAUGUGGGAAGGCCCAGACAGCCAGGAUGUUGGCUUAGAAGCAGCCAUCAUUUAAAGAAAGCGUAAUAGCUCACUGGUCGAGUCGGCCUGCGCGGAAGAUGUAACGGGGCUAAACCAUGCACCGAAGCUGCGGCAGCGACGCUUAUGCGUUGUUGGGUAGGGGAGCGUUCUGUAAGCCUGUGAAGGUGUGCUGUGAGGUAUGCUGGAGGUAUCAGAAGUGCGAAUGCUGACAUAAGUAACGAUAAAGCGGGUGAAAAGCCCGCUCGCCGGAAGACCAAGGGUUCCUGUCCAACGUUAAUCGGGGCAGGGUGAGUCGACCCCUAAGGCGAGGCCGAAAGGCGUAGUCGAUGGGAAACAGGUUAAUAUUCCUGUACUUGGUGUUACUGCGAAGGGGGGACGGAGAAGGCUAUGUUGGCCGGGCGACGGUUGUCCCGGUUUAAGCGUGUAGGCUGGUUUUCCAGGCAAAUCCGGAAAAUCAAGGCCGAGGCGUGAUGACGAGGCACUACGGUGCUGAA